rnacentral:rRNA from 1 species
CUGUGAAGGGAUACCUGUGAGGGAUCCUGGAGGUAUCAGAAGUGCGAAUGCUGACAUAAGUAACGAUAAAAGAAGUGAAAAACUUCUUCGCCGAAAAUCCAAGGGUUUCUGCGCAAGGUUAAUCCGCGCAGAGUUAGUCGGCACCUAAGGCGAGGGCGAAAGCCGUAGUCGAUGGAAAUAAGGUUAACAUUCCUUAACCAGAUGGUAGUGACGGAUCUUGUAAGUUGUAAGUUCUUAAUGGAUUGAGCUUGCCGCGAAAAGGUUCCAAGAAAUAGCUCCAUCAUUAGACCGUACCCUAAACCGACACAGGUGGAUUAAUAGAGUAUAUUUAGGCGCUUGAGAGAAUGAUGUUGAAGGAACUCGGCAAAAUACUUCCGUAACUUCGGGAUAAGGAAGACCUUCUUGUAGGCAACUAUAGGAGGGUGGCACAAGCCAGGGAGAAGCGACUGUUUAUCAAAAACACAGGGCUCUGCUAACACGUAAGUGGAUGUAUAGGGUCUGACGCCUGCCCGGUGCUGGAAGGUUAAUGCGGUUGGUGCAAGCUAACUUCUGAAGCCCCAGUAAACGGCGGCCGUAACUAUAACGGUCCUAAGGUAGCGAAAUUCCUUGUCGGGUAAGUUCCGACCUGCAUGAAUGGCGUAACGAUUUCUCCGCUGUCUCCAACAUCAACUCAGUGAAAUUGAAUUCUCCGUGAAGAUGCGGAGUUCGCGUAGUUAGACGGAAAGACCCCGUGCACCUUUACUGCAACUUUACAUUGGUAUUAGGAAAAACAUAUUUAGCAUAGGAGGGAGACAUUGAAGCAAAAGCGUCAGCUUUUGUGGAGUCACCAGUGAAAUACCUCUUUUGUUUUUCUUGGUAUCUAACUGAUUGCCGUUAUCCGGCAUCAAGACAUUGUAUGGUGGGUAGUUUGACUGGGGCGGUCGCCUCCCAAAUAGUAACGGAGGCGUGCGAAGGUAGGCUCAGAACGGUCAGAAAUCGUUCGUAGAGUGCAAUGGCAUAAGCCUGCCUGACUGUGAGACUGACAAGUCGAGCAGAGACGAAAGUCGGUCAUAGUGAUCCGGUGGUUCUGAGUGGAAGGGCCAUCGCUCAACGGAUAAAAGGUACGCCGGGGAUAACAGGCUGAUACUGCCCAAGAGCUCAUAUCGACGGCAGUGUUUGGCACCUCGAUGUCGGCUCAUCACAUCCUGGGGCUGGAGCAGGUCCCAAGGGU